rnacentral:lncRNA from 1 species
UCACAUCUAGUAUAGUCCAAGAAUAUGUACCUGAUUGCAGCAAUCAAAAAUAAGGAAGAAUGAGUGUGAAGUCUAGAGAAAACAACAAUAACAGAACCAACGUAGAAUCCCAGCAAUACUAAUGUAAACAAACUUCUUCAAACCAAAAGAGAAACCAAAUGAAAAUCAGUCUUUGAAAAACCCAAAACUCUGAUUAAAUAGGAAGCUUUAAAGCAGUUUUGAUGUCAAUUUGAACCAAAGAAAAUGCAGGAAUUCCAGCAUUUCUUGCAAAGCUUUUCAGACUCCGGCCAUUUUUCAGUUUUUCAAUAUUUUUAAUCUCUAAUGACUUGUUGAUGAAGAAACUAUGUCUUUAUAGGAAAACCUUAGGGCAGCAGAAAAU